GACCUCAAAUCAGGUAGGAAUACCCGCUGAACUUAAGCAUAUCAAUAAGCGGAGGAAAAGAAACCAACAGGGAUUGCCUCAGUAGCGGCGAGUGAAGCGGCAAGAGCUCAGAUUUGAAAUCGUGCUUUGCGGCACGAGUUGUAGAUUGCAGGUUGGAGUCUGUGUGGAAGGCGGUGUCCAAGUCCCUUGGAACAGGGCGCCCAGGAGGGUGAGAGCCCCGUGGGAUGCCGGCGGAAGCAGUGAGGCCCUUCUGACGAGUCGAGUUGUUUGGGAAUGCAGCUCCAAGCGGGUGGUAAAUUCCAUCUAAGGCUAAAUACUGGCGAGAGACCGAUAGCGAACAAGUACUGUGAAGGAAAGAUGAAAAGCACUUUGAAAAGAGAGUGAAACAGCACGUGAAAUUGUUGAAAGGGAAGGGUAUUGCGCCCGACAUGGGGAUUGCGCACCGCUGCCUCUCGUGGGCGGCGCUCUGGGCUUUCCCUGGGCCAGCACCGGUUCUUGCUGCAGGAGAAGGGGUUCUGGAACGUGGCUCU
rnacentral:rRNA from 1 species